UGGGGGAUAUUGCACAAUGGGGGAAACCCUGAUGCAGCAAUGCCGCGUGAGGGAAGAAGGUCUUCGGAUUGUAAACCUAAGUAGACAGGGACGAUAAUAACGGUACCUGUAAAGUAAGCUCCGGCUAACUACGUGCCGGCAGCCGCGGUAAUACGUAGGGAGCGAGCGUUGUCCGGAAUUACUGGGUGUAAAGGGUGCGUAGGCGGGUUUGCAAGUCAGGUGUGAAAUCCCGGGGCUCAACUCCGGGGCUGCACUUGAAACUGUAGAUCUUGAGUGAAGUAGAGGCAAGCGGAAUUCCUAGUGUAGCGGUGAAAUGCGUAGAUAUUAGGAGGAACACCAGUGGCGAAGGCGGCUUGCUGGGCUUUAACUGACGCUGAGGCACGAAAGCAUGGGGAGCAAACAGG
rnacentral:rRNA from 2 species